AGCUACAGUGUACUCAUAUAAAUAAAAUAAAGAAAUCUUUUAAAACAAUGCCUCUAAAAAAGAGGAAGCUGGGAGGACUCAAUGGGGAGGGGAUAGGUGGUCAGGGUAAAGAACAAAGUGGGGGUAGGGAUAAUUAACACUAAAGACCUUUUAAAAAGCCAUCUAGAAACCCUACAUUAUAGAAGAUCCCUAAAAUGUUUUUCAUACUUGAAUGGAAUUUAAAUGGAGUGAGCAUAAAAUGGGUAAGACCAACUGGACAUAUAAGGCCACGGAGUAAAGCCCUUUGCAUUUGGAUGGAUUAAAAUUUCUUGUUUGCCAAAUGGGUACCAUAGAACCCCCAAACAUCACAGGUUAGUGCCAAAUAUAUUGGUUACUUUCUAUAACCUGAGAGUAAAGUCCUAUUACUAAAGACACUACUUAAUUACGGCAUCAAACACAGAGAAAAUGAACAGGUGCCCAGACUGAAACCUCAUCGUGUUGACUAGUGUUCAGGGUGAUCGAUGGUAUAUUGCACUCUACGGGGAGGAAAAAGGUAGUCAGAAACAUCACUGCUCUACAACACAGAACCUGAGUCCUACAACAGAGAACUCUCCGCAGGGUGAAUUGGAACAAUAGUGGUGCAAAUGUGAGAUUAACCAACCAGUUUUUUAAAAUUAGUUUUAAGGCCCAUUCUAUGAUAUGGAAUCCAUACACAAACAUAGAAAUAUUUGACUAUAUAUCAAGAAUAGAUAGAUAGUGGGCUUAGGAGAAAAACCUAAGACUUUUAUUCUGCAAAAGGAAUGUAGCAAUUAAAUAACUCCUGAACAUGUGUCACUAUACCCAAAGACCAGAGGACUGCUCAGUUCUCACCAGAGAAAGUCCUUGCAGUAGAUGAUAGUGAACAAAGAGAUCCACAACUGGACAAUAUGCAGAGAUCGAUUACGUCUAAGGAGCACUUAGAUAUAAACGGGAUGGCUUCAUCAGAGCCCUCCUCUCAAGGCCUAGGGGUCUAUGCUGAAGAAGUGACAGAAAGACCAUGAGAGCCAGACCUUGUAAAUGACUCCAAGGAAGAAGAGUCUUCCAGAAACAACAGAACUGAUAUACCUAUGAACACACAAAGAACCACAUUAGACCUACAGAGGUUUAAACUAAGUAAAAGAAAUAUCAGCAUUUAAA
rnacentral:sRNA from 1 species